rnacentral:rRNA from 1 species
CAAGAGCGUAUAUUAAAGUUGUUGCAGUUAAAAAGCUCGUAGUUGGAUUUCUGGUCAAAUGCGCCUGGCCCGCGGCCGUAAGGUCUGUGAGUGCCGGUGCGCGUUUACCAUCCUUCUAGAAAACGUUUCUACCCUUUACUGGGCCGGACUCGCGAUCUAGAUCUUUUACUUUGAAAAAAUUAGAGUGUUUAAAGCAGGCUUUUGCUAUGAAUACAUUAGCAUGGAAUAAUAAUCUAGGACUUCGGUUCUAUUUUUGUGGUUUCUAGGACCGAAGUAAUGAUUAAUAGGGACAGUUGGGGGCAUUCAUAUUCCAUUGUCAGAGGUGAAAUUCUUGGAUUAACGGAAGAUGAACUUCUGCGAAAGCAUCUGCCAAGGAUGUUUUCAUUGAUCAAGAACGAAAGUU